UUCAGGAAUGUAAACAUUUCUUCCCUUCACAUUCACUAUUGUGCUUUAAGGAACAUCUUGGAAUAUCCAAAAGGCUCGCCUGUGUGCAUGUGUGUGUGUGUGUUUAAAUGUGUAAUGUGUGUGUUUG